rnacentral:misc_RNA from 1 species
AAAUGCGAUAAGUAAUGUGAAUUGCAGAAUUCAGUGAAUCAUCGAAUCUUUGAACGCACCUUGCGCUCCUUGGUAUUCCUUGGAGCAUGCCUGUUUGAGUAUCAUGAAAUCUUCAAAGUAAAUCUUUUGUUAACUCAAUUGGUUUCUACUUUGGUAUUGGAGGUCUUUGCAGCUUCACACCUGCUCCUCUUUGUUCAUUAGCUGGAUCUCAGUGUUAUGCUCGGUUCCACUCGGCGUGAUAAGUUAUCUAUCGCUGAGGACACUGUAAAAGGUGGCCAAGGUAAAUGCAGAUGAACCGCUUCUAAUAGUCCAUUGACUUGGACAAUACUUUUAUGAUCUGAUCUCAAAUCAGGUAGGACUACCCGCUGAACUUAAGA